rnacentral:rRNA from 1 species
ACGCUGGCGGCGUGCCUAAUACAUGCAAGUCGAGCGGACAGAAGGGAGCUUGCUCCCGGAUGUUAGCGGCGGACGGGUGAGUAACACGUGGGUAACCUGCCUGUAAGACUGGGAUAACUCCGGGAAACCGGAGCUAAUACCGGAUAGUUCCUUGAACCGCAUGGUUCAAGGAUGAAAGACGGUUUCGGCUGUCACUUACAGAUGGACCCGCGGCGCAUUAGCUAGUUGGUGGGGUAAUGGCUCACCAAGGCGACGAUGCGUAGCCGACCUGAGAGGGUGAUCGGCCACACUGGGACUGAGACACGGCCCAGACUCCUACGGGAGGCAGCAGUAGGGAAUCUUCCGCAAUGGACGAAAGUCUGACGGAGCAACGCCGCGUGAGUGAUGAAGGUUUUCGGAUCGUAAAGCUCUGUUGUUAGGGAAGAAACAAGUGCGAGAGUAACUGCUCGCACCUUGACGCCUACAAGCCGA